rnacentral:rRNA from 1 species
ACACACCCCAAAUGUAUGUCUACGAAUGUCAUUUAAUGGGCCUUGUGCCUAUAAACCAUAAUACAACUUUCAACAACGGAUCUCUUGGCUCUCGCAUCGAUGAAGAACGCAGCGAAAUGCGAUAAGUAAUGUGAAUUGCAGAAUUCAGUGAAUCAUCGAAUCUUUGAACGCACCUUGCGCCCCUUGGUAUUCCGAGGGGCAUGCCUGUUUGAGUGUCAUUAAAUUCUCAAACUCACUUUGGUUUUUUUCCAAUUGUGAUGUUUGGAUUGUUGGGGGCUGCUGGCCUUGACAGGUCGGCUCCUCUUAAAUGCAUUAGCAGGACUUCUCAUUGCCUCUGCGCAUGAUGUGAUAAUUAUCACUCAUCAAUAGCACGCAUGAAUAGAGUCCAGCUCUCCAAUCGUCCGCAAGGACAAUUUGACAAUUUGACCUCAAAUCAGGUAGGACUA